AACGCCCGGUAACAUUCCGAACCCGGAAGCUAAGCCCUCCAGCGCCGAUGGUACUGCACCCGGGAGGGUGUGGGAGAGUAGGACACCGCCGGAC
rnacentral:rRNA from 2 species